CCUGCCCUUGAAUUUUUUUUAAAAGGCCGCAGUAUUUUGACUGUGCUAAGGUAGCAUAAUAAUUAGGUUUUUAAUUGAAAUCUAGAAUGAAAGGUUAAAUGAAAUAUAAGUUUUAUUAUUUUUAAUAAAUUGAAUUUUAUAUUUUAGUUAAAAAGCUAAAUUUAUAUAAUGGGACGAGAAGACCCUAUAGAAUUUUAUAAUUUUUUAUUAUUUAUUAAAUUAUUUUAAAAUAAUAAGUAAUAUUUAAUUAUUUAAUUGGGGAGAUUAUUAAAUUUAUUAAACUUUAAAAAAAAAUUCAAUUAUUUUUGUUUUUUUGAUCUUUUUUUAUUGAUUAAAAGUUUAAAUUACCUUAGGGAUAACAGCAUAAUAUUUUUAAAAAGUUCAUAUUUUUAAAAAAGUUUAUGACCUCGAUGUUGGAUUAAAAUAAUUAUUAUAUGAAGAAAUAUAAUAAAUAAGUCUGUUCGACUUUUAAAAUUUUACAUGAUCUGAGUUCAAACCGGUGUAAGCCAGGUCGGUUUCUAUCU
rnacentral:rRNA from 1 species